AUGACCCAAGGCUUCCUUAUCCUCUUCUCUCCUGAUGGUUUAAUUCUCAUUGCAGCUCACCUGUCCUGUGCCCACAUGAAGCAGGAGGUCUCUGUCACAGGCAUUCAGGGAGACUCAGCUCGAAUGACCUGUCAGGUCUCUAAUGCUGCUUCCAGCUGGAUACACUGGUACCGGUUUCAGGAUGGGAAGCCCCCACAGCGCCUUCUCUACUUGUCCCGGGUAUCAGGCGAGCUGCGUUUUGAUGAGGGCUUUGGCAGUAAUAAAUUUCAUGCUUUUAAGGAUCAGUUUAAUGGUGAGAAGUUUAUCUUGUUAAUCAAAAAGCUGGAAGUGAGAGACAGUGGCACGUAUUACUGCGCUAUCUGGGACUGGGACUACCACAGUGCACCAGGAUGCAUCUCCUCCCCACACAAAAGGCCCUGCUGGAAACAACUUGGAGCAGCUAGUGCUGAACAAAGCAGGGAAAGCUUCUGCUUCAACCCUACCCUGUCCUUACUCUCCUCAGCCUGUGCAGGACCUCAGCCAAUCUUCCCUCCAUGGAUGGGGAAAGUCCUUCCUUGA